GGAAGUCGGGGAGACGACCGCGGGUCCCGCGAGGGAUUCGAGGAAAGUCCGGGCUCCGCAGGGCAGGGUGCUGGGUAAUCCCCAGGGGGAGCGAUCCCACGGAAAGUGCCACAGAAAAGAUACCGCCUCGGCCGCAAGGUCGCGGUAAGGGUGAAAAGGCGAGGUAAGAGCUCACCGGGCGCCUGGUGACAGGCGUCGCAUGGCAAACCCCACCCGGAGCAAGACCGCAUAGGGGAGCAGAGGCGGCCCGCCUCGCAUGACUCCCGGGUAGGUCGCUUGAGGCCGGCGGCAACGCCGGACCCAGAUACAUGGUCGUCGCCGCGACGCGGCAACAGAACCCGGCUUACGACCGACUUCCCGUC
rnacentral:RNase_P_RNA from 1 species